GACGAACGCUGGCGGCGUGCCUAAUACAUGCAAGUAGAACGCACAGUUCAUACCGUAGCUUGCUCCACCAUAGACCGUGAGGUGCGAACGGGUGAGUAACGCGUAGGUAACCUGCCUGGUAGCGGGGGACAACUAAUGGAAACGAUAGCUAAUACCGCAUAAUAUUGAUUAUUGCAUGAUAAUUGAAGGAAGGAUGCUAUUGAAUCACUACCAGAUGGACCUGCGUUGUAUUAGCUAGUAGGGGAGGUAACGGCUCACCUAGGCGACGAUACAUAGCCGACCUGCGAGGGUGCUCGGCCUCGCUGGGACUGGGGCACGGCCCACCCCCCUGCGAGAGGCAGCCGGAGCGGAUCUUCGGCGAUGGCAGCAAGUCUGAACGAGCGACGCCGCGUGAGUGCAGGAGGUUUUCGGGUCGUAAAGCUCUGUUGUAAGUGAAGAUCGGGAGGGAGAGUUGAACGUUCACACUGUGACGGUACCUUACCAGAAAGCUACGGCUAACUACGUG
rnacentral:rRNA from 1 species